GCGGAUUUCGAUCUCCGAGACCCCAACUGCCAUUCAAUGAAGCCGUCAUAUCAUAGUUUACAUGAUCCCCACCUUAACGAGCAUCUACACCGCAGGCAUAUCCACAGUAAUCUCAAGGAAAGAAACUUGAUUACUAGUGAUGAUAUGGUAGUAUGUUCUCGCAAGGAAUACUUCAUGUACCAGGAUUAUGUUGAUGGUGUCAAGAAUGACUUUGAAAACAAACAACAGAGAGAAAGGCAGAAAAGGUUUCUUGAGCUUGAAGAGCAGGGUCUGAUUCCAGACAGCGUGACUGCUGAAGAUAUCAGAACCUUUUUGCUAACAAAUGAGCUCCCAAAGCAUGAGGAAACACAGCAACAGUGUGGACCAGAGUAAGGAAAAUAU